rnacentral:rRNA from 1 species
GAUGAACGCUAGCGGCAGGCCUAACACAUGCAAGUCGAGGGGUAAAGGAAGCUUGCUUCCUUGAGACCGGCGCACGGGUGCGUAACGCGUAUGCAAUCUACCUUGUACAGAGGGAUAGCCCAGAGAAAUUUGGAUUAAUACCUCAUAGUAUUAUUGAAUGGCAUCAUUUAAUAAUUAAAGUUCCAACGGUACAAGAUGAGCAUGCGUCCUAUUAGCUAGUUGGUGUGGUAACGGCAUACCAAGGCUACGAUAGGUAGGGGUCCUGAGAGGGAGAUCCCCCACACUGGUACUGAGACACGGACCAGACUCCUACUGGAGGCAGCAGUGAGGAAUAUUGGACAAUGGGCGCAAGCCUGAUCCAGCCAUGCCGCGUGCAGGAAGACGCAUCUAUGGUGUGUAAACUGCUUUUGUACGGGAAGAAACACUCCCUCGUGAGGGAGCUUGACGGUACCGUAAGAAUAAGGAUCGGCUAACUCCGUGCCAGCCGCCGCAGUAAUAC